rnacentral:tRNA from 1 species
GCGCCUAUAGCUCAGUUGGUAGAGCCGUCGUCUUAUACACGACUGGUCCCAGGUUCGAGUCCUGGUGGGCGCA